rnacentral:lncRNA from 1 species
UGGCUAGUUAAUAUUCAUUCCUUCACAUCAUAACACCCAAUUCCCAAGGUGAGGAUCAAAUGAGAUAAUAAUUGUAAACUGCUUAGUACAGUGCCUAUGCAUGCCAAUUGUUACAUAUUUAGCCAUUAUUAGUUGUAGUAGUAACAAAAAUUUCUGAAAAUUAUGUCCUUUUUCUCCAACAAAUAUAAUUUUUAAAUUGAAAAGUUUCCUUCAUUUUUGAAAAUAACAAAUUCUUCUUUCCUCUCUGCCAAGCCUCAACACUUCCUCUCCAAUAACUUAAAAUGUAUUUAUUUGUAUAUAUUUUCUGUUAAUUUAUCUGGGUUCCUGUUGUUCCUCAGUCACAUUCCUAUUCAUUCCUAACUGAAAAUGUAAGGUGGAAAGGUACUGCUUCCUUUUUUUUUUUUUUUUUAUGCUGAGUACUUAGCAAAAGACAUACUUAAUAGAAGCCCAUUCAACUAUAUAAUCAAAAACUCUAAUCUUUAUGGUUUUCAUUAGAAUAAGAAGUUGUAGUGACUUUUUUUCCCUGAGGCAACUGGAGUUAAGUGACUUACCCAGCGUGACUAAGAAGUGUUAUGUGUCUGAGACCAGAUUUGAAUUCAGUUCAUACUGACUUCAGGGCUGAUCCACUGCACCACCUAGCUGCCCCAUGGUGACUUUUAAGAAUGUCCCUUUGGUCCAUAAAAAAUCACACACACACACACACACACACACACACACACACAGUUGUCUUGCUGCACAAGAAAAAUCAGAUCAAAAAGGAAGAAAAAAACUGGGAAAGAAAAAAAAUGCAAGCAAACAACAACAGAGAGAGUGAGAAUGCUAUGCUAUGGUUCACACUCAGUUCCCACAGUCCUCUCUCUGGGUGUAGAUGGCUCUAUUCAUCACUGAACAAGUGGCACUGGUUUGAAUCAUCUCACUGUUGAAGAGAGUCACAUCCAUCAGAAUUGAUCAUCAUAUAAUUUUGUUGCUGUGUAUAAGGAUCUCCUGGUUCUGCUCAUUUCACUUAGAGUCAGUUAUAAGUCUCUCCGGACCUCUCUGAAGUCAUCCUGAUGGUCGUUAUUUAUAGAACAAUAAUAUUCCAUAAAAUUCACAAACCAUAAUUUAUUCAGCCAUUCUCCAACUGAGGGCCAUCCACUCAGUUUCCAGUUUCUUGCCACUACAAAAAAAAGGCUGCGACAAACAUUUUUGCAGGCAUGGGUCCCUUUCUCUCCUUUAAGAUUUCUUUGGGAUAUAUAUGCAGUAGAAACACUGCUGGAUCAAAGAGUAUGAACACUUUGAUAAUUUUCUGAGCAUAGUUCCAAAUUGCUUUCCAGAAUGGUUGGAUCUGUUCAUUGUUCCACCAACAAUGCAUCAGGAUCCCAGUUUUCCCACAUCCCCUCCUAUAUUCAUCAUUAUCAUUUCCUGUCAUCUUAGCCAAUCUGACAGGUGUGUAGUGGUAUCUCAGAAUUGUCUUAAUUUGCAUUUCUCUGAUCAAUAGUGAUUUGGAGCACCUCUUCAUAUGACUACAAAUAGUUUCAAUUUCAUCUGAAAAUUGUCUGUUCAUAUCCUUUGUCCAUUUAUCAAUUGGAGGACGGUUUGAACUAUUAUAAAUUUGAAUUAAUUCUCUAUAUGUUUUGGAAAUGAGGCCUUUAUCAGAUUCUUUGAAUGCAAAAAUAUUUUCCCAGUUUGGUGCUUCCCUUCUAAUCUUGUCUGCAUUAGUUUUGUUUGUACAAAAACUUUUUAAAUUUAGAUAAUCAAAGUUAUUUAUUUUGUAAUCAAUAAUGAUCUCUACUUCUUCUUUGUUUGCACAUUCCUUCCUCCUCCAUAGAUCUGAGAGAUAAACUAUAUCUUUGCUCUUCUAAUUUGUUUAUAAUAUAAUUAUUUAUGUCUAGAUCAUGAACCCAUUUCAACAUUAUUUUGGUAUAUGGUGUUAGGUGUGGGUCAGUGCCUAGUUUAUGGCAUAAUAGUUUCCAAUUUUCCCAGCAGUUUUUUAUCAAAUAGUGAAUUCUUUUCCCAAAAGCUAGGAUCUUUGUGCUUGUCAAACACUAGACUGCUAUAGACUGUUUUGUUUUGUAAACCUAAGCUAUUCCACUGAUCAACUGCUCUAUUUCUUAGCCAGAACUAAAUGGUUUUGAUGACUGCUGCUUUAUAAUAUAGUUUUAGAUCUGGUACAGCUAGAUCACCUUCAUUUGGUUUUCCUUUCAUUAAUUCCCUUGAAAAUCUUGACCAUUUGUUCUUCCAGAUGAAUUUUGUUGUUAUUUUUUCUAGGUCAGUAAAAUAGUUUCUUGGGAGUUUGAUUGGUAUAGCAUUAAAUAAAUGGAUUAGUUUGGGUAGUAUUGCCAUUUUUAUUAUAUUUGCUCACCCUAUCCAAGAAUGUUUGAUAUUUUUCCAGUUGCUUAGAUCUGACUUUCAUUGUAUGGAAAGUAUUUUGCAGUUUUGCUCAUAUAGCUCCUGACUUUCCCUUGGCAAAUAGAUUCCCAAAUAUUUCAUCCUAUUGCCAAUUAUUUUAAAGGGAAUUUCUCUUUGUUUCUUAUGCUGUUGGAUUUUGUUAGUGAUGGAUAAAAAUGCUGAUGAUUUAUGUGGAUUUAUUUUGUAAACUGCAGCUUUGCUAAAGUUGUGGACUACUUCCAAUGGUAUUUUAGUUGAUUCUCUGGGCUUCUUUAAGUAUACCAUCAUAUUAUGUGCAAAGAGUGAUAACUUGGUUUCCUCAGUACCUAUUCUAAUUUCUUUAAUCUUUUUUCUUCAAUUAUUGUCAAAACUAGCAUUUCUAUUACAAUAUUAAAUAGUAAUGGUGAUAAUGGGCAACCAUGUUUCAUUCCUGAUCUUAUUGGGAAUGGUUCCAGUUUAUUCCCAUUACAUAUGAUGCUUGCUUAUGGUUUUAAAUAGAUGCAAUUGACUGUUUUAAGGAAAAGUCCAUUUAUUCCUAUUCUCUCUAGUGUUGUAAUAGGAAUGGCUGGUGAAUUUUAUCAAAUUGGUUUUUUUUGUAUCUAUUGAGAUAAUCAUAUAGUUACUGUUAAUUUGGUUAUUGAUAUAGUCAAUUAUACUUGUAGUUUUCCCAAUAUUGAACCAACUCUGCAUUCCUGGUAUAAAUCCUACUUGGUCAUAGUGUAUUAUCCUGGGGAUGAUUUUCUGAAUUUUCUUUGCUAAUAUUUUAUUUAAGAUUUUUGCAUCAAUAUUCAUUAGAGAGAUUGGUCUAUACUAUACAAAAUUGGUUUUUAUCCUAUCUGGUUUAGGCAUCAGUACCAUGUCUGUGUGAUAAAAGGAAUUUGUUAGUAGUCCUUCAUUCUCUAUUUUUUCAAAUAGUUUGAAUAGUAUUGGAGUUAAUUGUUCUUUAAAUGUUUGAUAGAAUUUACAUGUAAAUCCAUCUGGUCCUAGGGAUUUUAUGUUCUGGAGUUGAUUAAUAGCUUGCUCUAUUUCUUUUUCUUUUUAAGUAUUUUAUUUAUUUAUUUAAGUAAAUUAUUUCUGCUUCUGUUAAUCAGGGCAAUCUAUAUUUUUGUAGCCAUUCCUCCAUUUCACUUAGGUUAUCAAAUUUAUUGGCAUAAAGUUGGGCAAAAUAACUCCUAAUUAUUGUUCUAAUUUCCUCUUCAUUGUUGGAAAGAUCUCCCUUUUCAUUUUUGAGACUAACAAUUUGAUUUCUCUCUUUCUUUUUUCUAAUUAAAUUAACUAAAGGUUUAUCUAUUGUAUUGAUUUUUUUCCAUAAAACUCUUACUUUUAUUUAUUAAUUCAAUCAUUUUUUAACUUUCAAUUUUAUUGAUCUCCUUUUAUUUUUAGAAUGUCAAUUUUGAUAUUUGGAUUUGGGAGUUUUAAUUUGUUCUCUUUCUAGCUUUUCUAGAUGCAAACCCAAUUCAUUGAUCUUCUCUCUCUAUUUUAUGCAAAUAAGCAUUUAGAGAUAGAAAAUUUCCCCUUAUUACUGCUUUGGCUGCAUCCCACAAAUUUUGGUAUGUUAUCUCAUUAUUGUCAUUCUCUUGGAUGAAAUUAUUGAAUGUAUCUAUGGUUUACAUUUUCACCCAUUCUUUCUUUAGGAUGAGAUUAUUUAGUUUCCAAUUAUGUGUGGUCUAUUUUUCCCUGACCUUUUAUGGAAUGUAAUUUUUAUUGCAUCGUGAUCUGAAAAAAAAAUUAUAUUUACUAUUCCUGCCUUUCUGCAUUUGAUUUUGAGAUCUUUAUAUCCUAUAUGGUUAAUUUUUGUAUAGGUUCAAUGAACUGUUGAGAAGAAAGUGCACUCCUUUCUGUCUCCAUUCAAUUUUCUCCAAAGAUUUAUCACACUUAAUGUUUCUUGUAUUCUAUUUACCUCUUUAACUUCUUUCUUAUUUAUUUUGUGGUUUGAUUUAUCUAGUUCUGAGAGAGCAAAGUUGGGAUCUCCCACCAUUAUAGUCUAUUUCUUUUUGCAACUCUAAACUUCUCCUUUAGGAAUUUAGAUGCUAUACCACUUGGUGCAUAUAUGUUUAAUAUUGAUAUUGCUUCAUUAUCUAUGAUACCCUUCUCAAGAUAUAGUUUCCUUCCUUAUUUCUUUUAAUUAGAUCAAUUUUUGCUUUUGUUUGAUCUGAGAUCAGGAUGACUAUGCCUGCUUUUUUUUUUUUUUUUACUUCACCUGAAGCAUAAUAGAUUCUGCUCCUGCCUUUUAGCUUUACUCUAUAUGUAUUGCUCUGCUUUAAAUUUCUUUCUUGUAAACAACAUAUUGUAGCAUUCUGUUAUUUAAUCCAGUCUGCUAUCCACUUACGCUCUUUGGGAGAGUUCCCUCCAUUCACAUUUACAGUUAAAAUUACUAAUUCUGUAUUUCCUGCCAUCUCAUUAACCCCAAAUCAUAUUUUUCCUCUUUCCUUUUCUCCUUUCCCUUCUCCCCAGUAUUUUACUUAUGAGCACUACUUGCCUCAAGUAAUCCUCCCCUUUUAGAGAUACCCUCCCCCUUUCUUAUACCUUUCCCUUACCAUUUCUAUUUUUCCUUCUAUUUAACCUACUCCUUCUCCUUUCCCCUCCCAAUUUUCUAUAUGGUGAGAGAAGUUUCUCGGUGAAAGCAAAUAUGUCUAAUAUUCUUUCUUUGAACCAAAACUGAUGAUAGUAAGAUUUACACAAUAUUCAUCACCCUCCCUUCUUUUCCUCAAUUAUAAUAGAUUUUAUUUGCCUCUUCCUGAGAUAAUUUCCCUCAUUUUACCUCCAUUUCCCCCUUUUUCUUGCACAAUCUCUUUUCCACCUCUACUUUCUUUUUUAUAUUAUAACAGUAAAAUCAGAUUAUACAUGUACUCUCUGUGUAUACCCAUAAUAGGUAUACAGUUCUCAAGACUUUUUUUCUUUUUACUUUUUAUGCUUCUUUUGAGUUUUAUUUUUGGAGGUCAAAUUUUUUGUUUAGCUCUGGUCUUUUCAUCAGAAAUAAAUGGAUUUCACCUGUUUCACUGAAGGUGCAUCUUCUUCCCUGAAAGGAAAUGUUCAGUUUAGCAGGGUAAUUUGUUUUUUGUAGAGGGCUGAAACUCCUGAGUCGAUGCACUGAGGUCAGUUUGAGCACUUAAGGAUAAUUACCUAUUGGACAAUACUGUAUGGGCAUGUGCUUGGGGAAUGGCCCUUCCCAUUAUCCUGUGCUGGCUCUAUAAUUGGUGUAUGCAGAGAAUUGUAGGGAGGGGGGGAAAGGGGUGGCUCAUCUUACUAGAUGGUUCUUGAAGGUUCUUAAAGGUUGGUUGGUUCUUAAAGGUUCUUAAAGGAAAAGGAGAUAGAGCUAGAUAAUUGGAAGCUAGUAGGACAAGAGCUAUGUGAAUACUACAAUGAUAAAGGUCCUCAUUCAAUUUCCAGGGGAACAUUCUAUACAUACAACAUUAAUAUGGUUGGCCUUAAAGAAUCCUGCAAGUUAUAGAAAAAAGAAAAAAUUCUAAGAACAGUCAGAUGAGGAAGUCUGAGGAAAAUGAGGAGCACAAAGGAGGGAUUAAAAGCGAUAUGUCCAGAGGGUAUGGGGAGUUAAAAGAGGAUGAAGGGCAUGGUGAAGGGCAUGGUGAAGGGUGUGAUGAUUCUCACUCUCAUAAAGCAGGUUCAACCCCGCCUAAACCAGAACUGGUUCUUAACAUGCCCACAUAAACUUCACCUUCCAGGAUGGAGGGAAGAGGAGUAGUGGGAGGCGCAGUGACACCAUCAGCACCUCCCCACCCAGAAAUCACCCCCUCCUAUUGCAAAAAUUGCAAAAGGCAGUACUUAAAGCCACAGAAGAAGAAGCCACUUAAAUUACUUAGGUGAUUUGAAACUGGAAAUAUAUCCUGUGAUUCAACAGUUUAACUCUUCUGGUCAAGAAAGUAGAAGAUACACUCCUUUUGAUAUAGAAAUUCUCAAAGACCUGAAAAAGGCUUGCACUCUUUAUAGGGCUACAUCAGCUUAUGUUAAGAUGUUAUUACAGAAUUUGGCUUAUGAAGUCUUAACCCCUAGGGACUGGAAAUCUAUAAUAAGGACAUGCUUAGAACCUGGACAAAACUUGUUGUGGCUUUCUGAAUAUAGUGAGCUCUAUAGGAUACAAGCCCAACAAAACAGUCAUAGUGGAGUUAAUCCUCCAAUCACUUGUGACCAACUAACAAGUGUAGGUUCUUAUGCAGAAAUUUCAGUGCAGAUCAAUUACCACUUACAGCAGCAUAUGAGCAAAUUGCUGCUGCUGCCAUCAAAGCAUGGGCUUCUCUCCCCAAUAAAAAUGACAAGGGUGAAGCCUUCCCAAAAAUAACACAAGGGCCAAAUGAACCCUUUGCUGAUUUUGUGGGAUAUUUGUAGACAGCUAUCAUAUGAACUAAUGGUGAAAAUGCCGUUAACAGAUAAGGCAACUUGCUAAAAGAAAAUGCUAAUGAGAUUUGUAGAAGAAUUAUACUAGGACUACGCAAGGAUGCUCCUUUAGAGGAGAUCAUAAGAUGCUGUGCCACAGUAAGUACAAAUACUUUUUAUAGCCAGUCUAUGAUGCAGACUCCCCAAGAUCUGAACAUGGGAAGACAGGGUCCCUUUUGGCAAGGGACUUCCAGAGAGACUUGUCGAUGCUUUCAAUAUGGUAAAGUAGGGCAUCUGAAAGCUCAAUGUUGGCAUAGAGACAGAGUGAGAAAACAGGGUGGGAGAACAAGACCCAAUACCUCAUGUCCAAAAUGCAACAAAGUCUUCCAUUGGGCAUCAGAAUAUAGACUGAUAAAAGGAAACAGGAUGAGGGGCUCAGCCCCAGGGCCCAAGACAAAAAAAUACUUGGGGCACAAUGGCAGCCAAUGCUACACCCAGAGAGUGCCUAGAAGUCCAGUACCCAGACAUGACCAAUCAGCCAGAAAGCCAUCUGAUGGGAGAAAGGGAUUACACAAUCAACCAGCCAGGAAGCAACCUGAUGGGAGAAAGGGAUUACAAUAGAGUUAGUUGUAUAUAGCUGGGACAACUGAGAUACUCCCUAGAGAGGUGAAAUCUGUUCCUCUCCAGUCUAUGGAUCCCUUGCCUCUAGGGACAGUAUUUCACCUCCUGUGAGUACUUACAAAAGUGUCCAUCUAUACACUGAUGUGGAAAACUGGGGAAUGUGUAGAUAAUAUCCAAGUCACUAAUACAGGUAGACAAUGUGUGACUUAUCACCCAGGAGAAGUAGUAGCAACAGGUUUACUGAUACAGACUCCUAAUAAGCAAUCUGGUGAUAGUCACCCAGAUUCUGAUGCCAAGCAACAAAAUCCAGGAAUAUAUUGGACAGCAGCUGUGACAGCUGACCGACCU